rnacentral:rRNA from 1 species
CCCUUAGAUGUUCUGGGCCGCACGCGCGCUACACUGAUUCAUGCACUAAGUAUAUAACCUUGGUAGAAAUGCUUGGGUAAUCUUCGAAACUGAAUCGUGCUGGGGAUUGGAGCUUGUAAUUAUUCUCCAUGAACGAGGAAUUCCUAGUAAACGCGAGUCAUCAGCUCGCAUUGAUUACGUCCCUGCCCUUUGUACACACCGCCCGUCGCUCCUACCGAUUGAGUGGUCCGGUGAGGCUUUGGGAUCUGAGCGGAAAGAGCGUUUCGCUGUUUCUGCUCGGAAAACUCAGUCGAACCUUAUCAUUUAGAGGAAGGAGAAGUCGUAACA